GAUUGGCUACUGCAGCUUGCGGACUGGAAACCCCCUGAAAGAUCAGAGUUGAAAGAAACGAAAGUUGAGCCUAACUAUUGAUGCUGUCCAGAGAAGUGCGGAGGAAACACCAAAGAGCAGGAAAAGAAUAAGACAAAGUGAGCCUGCUUUUCAAGACACUGUUCCUACUUCAACAGUGAUCCUGCAUCAAGUAAAGCUUAGCAGUGUUUAGCAGCCUUCAACUUGACCUACAUUCCGGAUUACAAGAUAACACUCCAGAGGGCCAUUAAACGGCAGAACAUCCACUUCAAACAUUCUAUCCAGGACAGGAUAGCACAGUAACAGCAUGUGCACGCAAAGUGGCUCGCCCUGCGCUCAACGGACAGAAUCCAGACCAUUCAUAUGGAAUCAGGAGAACAUUCUUGACAACGCUGAAGUGAGAGCAGAACAUGGACGUGGUUGUGCGCAAUAACCGCAGAGGACACCGGGAGUUUGCUGUCCAGGCCGAGCACUUGAAACUGCCGGAACUAGGACUGAGACUGAAAGCUCAGGACAUUCACAACAACUACCUCUUCAAAGACAACAUCCCAGAAUACCCAAGGCCAGAGUUCUGGGUUUCCCAGCUCAGACACGACACAGAUGAAUACGGGCUAUUUGGCAUAGCCGUCGAAAGCGAUGGGGGGUUCUGUGCUAGGGACCGAGAAGAGGGGCCAGAGGACCCAGAAGAGGGGCCAGAGGGUUUGGACCUGCUGUGGUGGAGCUUGUCUUUGGGAGCAGAAGAGAUGGCCUCGGCUGAACAACGUCUGCUCCAGACCAGGUACCCUGACAGGACAGAGGAGCAGGCCAGGGAGCAGAAAUCCUUCCUGCAGAGGUUCGCCACCUCACCUGCCUUCCUGGACACCUCUCGGCUGGGCUCCUACCGCUUCACCUUCCCCCUGGAGGAGCUGCUCAAGAGAUACCGGGAACAGCUAUGCGUUGGACACGAGCCAAUCCUGCGUGUUUAUGAGACAGUCCUGUACAAACAGGAGGUGAUGUACUCAGUGCUAGUCCACAGUCACUACAACAACGACCUCUUUGAGAAGUACCCUCUCCUCCAGGACAAUGAUGAUGGAGUCUGUGCUUACAGAGAUGGACAAAUCAUUUGGAGACCCGAGGCCAUGUGUCAGACACACAGCUUGAAAUUGGUGCCAAAGCCCUACCAGAACCAGGAUGUAGCCCACCUGAUCCCUGAUCCACAGAAACACCAGUUCUACGUUUGGGACAACAUUGCUGUAGCGUUCCACAUGGACGGUUCACAGAUGUUGACCUUCGAUAGGUACAAUUUGAGACACCAUCUGAGAUUCUGUGAGCCAGGAACGCCACAAUUUUCCCCCGACUGUGAGUUCACCACAUACGAGGAGGCUAAAGACAUGGUGGACUGCUAUUGGCCUUACUACCCCACCCCCCUCUACUGAUAAACUUACUACCACACCCCCCUGUUCUGCUAAACUUACUACCCCACCCCCCUCUACUGAUAAACUUACUUCCACACCCCCCUGUUCUGCUAAACUUACUACCCCACCCCCCUCUACUGAUAAACUUACUACCACACCCCCUGUUCUGCUAAACUUACUACCACACCCCUUGUUCUGAUUAACUUACUACUACACCCCCUGUUCUGCUAAACUUACUACCCCACCCCCCUCUACUGAUACACUUACUACCACACCCCCUGUUCUGCUAAACUUACUACCCC
rnacentral:lncRNA from 1 species